rnacentral:rRNA from 1 species
CCUACGGGCGGCAGCAGUGGGGGAUAUUGGACAAUGGGGGAAACCCUGAUCCAGCGAUGCCGCGUGAGGGAAGAAGGCCUUCGGAUUGUAAACCUCUGUGGAGGGGGACGAUAAUGACGGUAUCCCUACAGGUAGCCAUGUAGAAUAACUUGCCAGCAGCCGUGGCAACAUGCAGGCGGCGAGGGUUGUCCGGAAGUACUGGGUGUAAAGGGAGUGUAGGCGGGCAAGCAAGUCAGAUGUGAAAACUAUGGGUUUAACCCAUAGCCUGCAUUUGAAACUGUUUUUUUUGAGUGAAGUAGAGGCAGGCGGAAUUCCUAGUGUAGCGGUGAAAUGCGUAGAUAUUAGGAGGAACACCAGUGGCGAAGGCGGCUUGCUGGGCUUUUACUGACGCUGAGGCUCGAAAGCGUGGGGAGCAAACAGGAUUAGAUACCCCAGUAGUC